rnacentral:misc_RNA from 1 species
UUUCCGUAGGUGAACCUGCGGAAGGAUCAUUAUGGGAUUUUGAAACUUCAGGCUGCUGCUGGCUCUCCUCGGAGGGCAUGUGCACGCUUGUUGUCCAUUAUUUCUCCCACUGUGCACAAAUUGUAGGCCUUUCAGUAGGCCUAUGUUGUUUUUCACAAUCUCUGAAUGUAAUAGAAUGGUUUUGAAUCUUGGGAAAUACAAUACAACUUUCAGCAACGGAUCUCUUGGUUCUG